UCAACUUGUUGUAAGUCACAGAAAAGAUUAAGGAGAAAUCAUGCUACGCAGGUCUAAUGAUAGCAUCUUGGCUCCGCAGCACUGUCAGGCGCGGCUCAACCCACCUGCUCUGCAUACGCCACUAAAAGGCUCCUUGGAGGCCCCUGCUGUCACCUCAUACCCAAGAGUGUGGCUACUGACCCAUCUUCCUGAGGAGAAUGGCUGAGAUGUCUUUGAAAUUAUUCCUGGAAUUCGACCAGCAUGAGAUCUCUACCAAACUGAGGGGCGACUGCAGCUGUCUGUGACUGCUCUUGCGGAACAGCUGGAGCCUGGAUGGUUAUAAUGUCUAUGGGAUCCAUUGCUGCACCAUUACCCUCUUUGAGGGAAGGGGAGGAUUUCCCACCACCUGCUGAAGUCACACCUCACCUAUUUCCUUCAGCAGAACCCCCACCCAUGGUGUAUAAAGAGGUUUUACAGUGACUUCUGUGAGCCAGAAAGAAGUUUGGUAAGAGGAUCCAUGUUUACCCAUGAAAGACUUUCCUACCAAUGUUGUUGACAUAGAAACCAAGAAAGAAGGGUAAAUAAGAGAAACCUGCAAUUGUCUAUUCCAAUAAGCACUUUGUCUCUUCUGACCAGUCAGUAAAGUGUAAACUUAGGAGUUUUUUUAAGAAUGUAUAAAAAGCAUGCAUGCUAGAACAAAAACGGGUUUGAAGCCUUCUGCAAAUGGAGUAUUGCUUUAUAUUGUCUCCAUUUCAACUAUGUCUGUCUCAACUACAACAAAUGGUGACGGCCAAAGUGAUGGGGGAGCAGCUGAGAAGGGCUGCCGGCAGCCGGGACAGCUGCAACAGUUGGGUUGUGGGGUGAGGCAUGGCCCGACACAGGGCCCUAGUGUAGCUUUUGAGAGCAGCAGAAAGAUGCUGUCAGUCUGGAUGAAAUUGAUUUUGACACCUGGAAUGCAGGUAAGCCACUGGGAACAAUGGGGAGUUCCAGUAAAGCAUAAAGCAACAUGGGGAGCUGCUGUAAGUCCAGACUGAUCUUUCAUACUUUCAUAUAAUAAAAGUGAGCCACUGGGGAGCAUAAUGGAGAAUCAGUUAAUAAGGGAAGACAAACUGCUUCAAAGUUUUGCUGAAGAAGAAGGAUUUUCAAGCUUUUAAUCGUGCCCUUCAUGGUGUGUUGUGGAAAAAUCAUAGGACUUUGAAACUGAUGCUAGUGUUGCCUUUAAUAUUGUCAGAAUACGGAAGACAGAACAAGAAAUGGGAGUUAAUGAGGAACAGCAGAAAGAUGGGAUUCAGCUUGAGAAUGUGUUUUUCCCAGAGGAGUCAGAUGGAGUUGCUUUUGCGGGGAUUUUUCUGGGGUCUGCUAUCAAGGGAGACAGGUGGUGCUCCUUGGAAUAUCUCUAAAGGACUGUAUUAUGCCUGUGUGGCUUUCUUUGGCACAACAAUUAAUCAAACUGAAUGCUAAGUUAAAAUAUGUUAUUUCUGCUGAAAUGCAUUCACAGUAGAGACAAAUUGAAGAACAAGCUGAGGUGUUUGUCCACCCACUCCCUGCCGAACUGAGCAGAAGAAUGAACUCAUUAAAUCUGUAAUUUGUCGUUGCCUGAAAUGCUGGUGAUAAGAUUUCCUGGAGGAGCCUCUACCCUUCCCUCUUCCCACCCUGCGAUGAGCGGCUGCCGGCACCCAGGAGAUGUUGCUGCGGGUGUGAGGGAGAGACGCCACUGUUCAGGACCCCCUUGAACCGCCAGGACCUCUCCCCCAUCCUUACUGCCCUUCCGGAGGCUGUGCAAAGGGGGCGGGAGCUGCAUCCCGAUGGAGGGGGCCAUGUCUGCUGCAGCUGGAGGAAGUCCGUGGGGAGGGCUCAGAUCUCUCAAAAGUGUUGGGAGCUGCUCAGAGCUCUGUGUUGCUGCUUCACGUAGAAGAACCUGGACCAAAGAGGUCUUUGAUCUACAGGGCUACCUCAAGUAUUUAGGACUCAAAAAGUGACAGAUCAAUGCCUGGAAAAGGAAUGCAUUAUUACAGCCAAGGGAUAUUAUCCAGAUACCACAAUAAUAACAGGUUUUAUGGCCUCUCAUUCAAGCAGGUUUUGGAAACAUGGAACUCAGUGGCUCUGCUACAGGAGGUCUGUCUGCCAUUGUGAUUAAUGUAAAAAAUGCUUAUGGCCAACAAGCUAACAUCAGGCCUUAUGUUUCCAAUGCCCCAUGUAACUUAUGGGGAUGAGAUUGUUUAUCCCAAUGGGGUGUUAAAAUUACUAUGGAUUUUUAGCAGGGACCACUGUGAUGCAAGGCCUUAAGCAUCCAGUUGUAACAUUGACAUGGUUAACAGGUAAACAUGUCUGGAUUGACCAGUAGCUGCUUCCUAUUGAAAAGCUUACUGCCCUGCAAGCAUUAGUAGCAGAACAUACUGAAGAGUGAGCUGGACAUAUUGAAGAGUCAUUUAGUUCAUGGAAUCCCCCUGUUUUUGUGAUUAAAAAAAAAUCAAGAAAAUGGAAACUUUUGCAUGAUCUACAGCAAAUAAAUGCUGUAAUUGUUACAAUGGGGUCUUUACAACCAGGUCCUCUAACACCUACAAUGAUUCUACAGGGAUGGGAGAUAAUUAUCAUUGAUUUCAAAGAUUGCUUUUUUACCAUUCCGUUGGCUGAACAAGAUAAGGAAAAAUUUGCUUUUACCAUGCCGUGUUUAAAUCAUGCUGAAUCUAAUAAAAAACAUCAAUGGAAAAUUCUAAUGGUUUGUGGCACAGGCCUUAUCAAAGGUGCAAGAGCAAUUUAGUAAUUACUAUUGCAAUCAUUACAUGGAUGAUAUCUUGUUGGGUUCUGAUAAUAAACAACAUCUUGAACAAUGUGCUGUAACAAAUUUGAAAACUUUUGGAUUUCAUUAUUGCCUCAGAGAAUGUAUGAAAAUAGAUGCCUUGGAAAUACUUGGGGUUGAUAAUAACAAAUACUUGGAUUAUGUCUCAAUCUGUAAAAUUAGACAUUGAAGUUAAAACUGUUACUGAUGUAUAAAAAUUGGUUCAUGCAAUAGCUUGGAUUAGGUCAUAUUUAGGAAUAAUUUAUUAUCAAAUGCAACCUUGGUUUGAAUUAUUGUCAGGGAUUACUUCUACUGAUGAGAGAUAUUUGAUUGAUGUAGUAAAAAAAGGUAAUGAAAAAAGUUGAAUUAGCUUUGACCUGAAAACUUGUUAGCAGGACAAGUACUUCUGUUGGUGUGUUAUAAUUUAUUUUGAAAGAACAAAAAUAUAAUGUGGACGGUUGUGUCAAUAGAAUGAUAAUUGGGAAGAUAAAUUAUAUAUUUUAGAAUGGGUAUAUUUAUCGUUCAGAUCUCGAAAAACAGUUUCAGGACUAUGAGGUUUUUGCAGAUAUCAUUAUCAAGGGUCAGAUGUUGUCAUAAAAUCUUCGGCCAUGAUCCUGUAAAUAUUGUGAUAUCUGUAGCAUAAUAGUAUUUUUAAUGGGGUUUUCAAAACAAUAAUAAAUUGCAAUCUGCUUUAUCUUAUUUUACUGGUUAAAUAAUGUAUC